GACGAACCGUGCGAACGUUGUUCGGAAUCACUGGGCUUAAAGGGCGCGUAGGCGGGUGCUCAAGUCUGUGGUGAAAUCCUCCAGCUUAACUGGAGAACUGCCAUGGAUACUGGGUGUCUCGAGGAAGAUAGGGGUAUGCGGAACGAUUGGUGGAGCGGUGAAAUGCGUUGAUAUCAAUCGGAACUCCGGUGGCGAAGGCGGCAUACUGGAUCUUAUCUGACGCUGAGGCGCGAAAGCUAGGGAAGCAAACGGG
rnacentral:rRNA from 1 species